rnacentral:lncRNA from 1 species
GUCUGUUACCAGUUUCAGCUCUUCGCCUGUUUAUUCAGAAAGUAUUUGGUGGGAAGAGAAUUCAGAAAAAAACUAAUGAGUUUCUGAAGUUUCAGGUGAGUUUACUUUGUAAUUGGCAACUUUAAUGAAGAUUGUUGGUUAGAUAUUUGACUCAUUGUGACUGAAUAAAAUCUUUCAAUGAUUUUCCAUAUGAGUACACUCACCAGAAAAAGUCCCUGAAAGAUUGGAUGUACAGUCAUGUGGUUCAGAAUAUAGAGACAUUUUAGCGAGGCCCCUCCUCUCCCACUAGGAGACAGAAUCUUGGACAAGAUUUAAAACAUCUGUCCCCUCUCCUGAUUGACUUCCCUUCCCUUUGAUGCAUUGGCUGAAGUUCUACAUAAGAAAAUUGCUAGUUAACAAGGAUCUUGCUUUGAGAUGGUAGAUAUUUCUAGAAGGGUUGUGGCCUAUCAGUCAUUUACACUUGAAUGUGAAUUUUCUCCAAAUGGCUUUCUCACAGAAGGUUAGCUGAGAUGAUGUCCUACACUAAACAAGUAGGUUUUGAUAGGAGAGAAAGGGAGAAAACAGAAUUUUGAGCAAUCAGAAAGGAAGAGUAGACCAGAGAAAUAUUGCAACAGAUGCUUUAGGUGGCAGGAAGACCCCAGAGGACCUCUUCUCCACAACUUGGAGAGUAUGUAGGGCAGGCAUAAAGGGAGGAUGUCAGAACCAAACUUGGCUUAGAAUUGGUUCAGAUUCCAUGCUGGAGGACAGGUCCUCCUGUGCUUAAGUGGGCUUUGUCAAGAUUCUUCAUAAAACCCAGUACAUUGUGUAAGGGAGGUAAUUUGCAAAGCUACUAGAGAGUGAGAUUUCCUAAUUUCCUUUCAAGUUUCAUGGGAGAGGGAUUUGAGAGUUGUGCCUUUAGUGGAGAGAGAGAAGAACCAAGUCUCUAGUACAAUGAAAGUAGUAGAGAAUCUCACUUUCAGAAUCUGAUGUAUGUCAGAGGCCAUGAAAUUAAAAAACAAACAAACAAACAAAAAAACUGGUAAUCAGCAGCAGAAUGGACUUAGAGAAAACCGAUUGCCCCUCUCCUCUCAUGAGACCUGGCCAGAAUCAAGUGUUUGAUCACCUUUAAUUUUCUGUCAGCUCUGAAAAACUUCAUCUCAGGGAACAGGAGAAAAGGAACAAGGAGUGCCCGUAUAAUACAUGAUAUACAGUCGGGAGAAUGACUCAGGAAAGUCCUCCUUGAUUAUUUUCGCAAAAUUUUGAGGAGGGGAGAGUCAAGCAUGGCAUAUAGGACAGUAAAAGUGAUCCAGGUCAGAGAAGUGAAGGGUCAUUUCCCUUCACUUGGGGAUUGAAAUUUGUCAGUCCCCAUCUAGGAUUGUCAAGGGAGAUUGCGUACCACUAAUUUUGUGACCAGUUAAUUUCCCUAGGCCUUAGUUUUCUCCUGCUUUAAAAGAGGGUAUUGAACCAGACAAACUCCAAGAUGCCUUUCAGUGCUUAAAUUAUAUGAUUCUAGGAUGAUUAAUGUUAUAAUACAUUCUUUGGCAACAUCUGCAUCUAUUUAAGCCCAUAAAUGUUGAGAAGAAAUAUUUGGUAUGCAGUAAACCAGGAAGCAGGUAGCUCCCUUUAAAUAAAUACUCAUCUAACAUUGAUGAAGUUUCAGGUUUUAUCAACCUUUGCUGGACUCCCAUGGUUGCCCAUAUCUAAUGGGACUGGGUCAUGUUUUCCAUCACCUAGAAUUUUGGGGCUUAAUUUAAUUUUUAUAUCUAAUGGAUGACAGCUCUGAGUAAUUUAAGAUCGUUUAUAAGGUUAAAAAGAAAACCCUAAAGUUGGCAAAAUAGCAGAAGACAAGCAAACUAUAAUGAACAAUGUGGGAGGAAGAUCUCUUCAAGCUGACCAGAGACAAAGAUGGUUUGAAGGAAUAAGUAUUUUCUUUAUAAUGCACAGAAAGAAAAACAUGAGAUUAUGUAAAUAGAGGGUUGUAAAUUGUGGAGGUUUGGCCACAUCCAGUUUACAGAUGACUUUUUUGGCAGCACAGAGUUGUGAAAAAUUAUGACUGAGUGAUGUUGAGAUGGGCAUGUAUUUAUAAUCCUGGUGAGCAUCCUUCCUGCCCUCUACCUCCACCAGCCACUUGACCCUAUUAUCCUGCCACAGACCCUUCCCACCUUGAUCCGAACUUCCUGGGCACCAGGGCAUUUGAGUUUGGAUGUGAUACAAGUGUAAAUGAGAAGUUUAGCCCAACUCUUUUCUGAGAGGCUUCAGUUAACAGUCAGCCCCCCAUAUACAUGGGUUCCACAUCCAUGGAUUCAGUGAACCUUGGAACCAAAAUAAUCAGAAAAAAAAAAAAAAA